CGCCCGCCGCGCGCGGCGGGCGGGGCGGGGGCACGGGGGGCCUACGGGAGGCAGCAGUGGGGAAUCUUGGACAAUGGGGGAAACCCUGAUCCAGCAAUGCCGCGUGGGUGAAGAAGGCCUUCGGGUUGUAAAGCCCUUUCGGCGGGGAAGGAAUCGGCCGGGCGAACAGUCCGGCCGGAUGACGGUACCCGCAGAAGAAGCACCGGCUA
rnacentral:rRNA from 1 species